rnacentral:rRNA from 1 species
CCUACGGGUGGCAGCAGUGAGGAAUAUUGGUCAAUGGGCGCGAGCCUGAACCAGCCAAGUAGCGUGAAGGAUGAAUGCCCUACGGGUUGUAAACUUCUUUUAUAAAGGAAUAAAGUGAGGCACGUGUGCCUUUUUGUAUGUACUUUAUGAAUAAGGAUCGGCUAACUCCGUGCCAGCAGCCGCGGUAAUACGGAGGUUCCGAGCGUUAUCCGGAUUGAUUGGGUUUAAAGGGAGCGUAGAUGGGUUGUUAAGUCAGUUGUGAAAGUUUGCGGCUCAACCGUGAAAGUGCAAUUGAUACUGGCAGUCUUGAGUACAGUUGAGGUGGGCGGAAUUCGUGGUGUAGCGGUGAAAUGCUUAGAUAUCACGAAGAACACCGAUUGCGAAGGCAGCUUACUAGACUGCCACUGACAUUGAUGCUCGAAAGUGUGGGUAUCAAACAGGAUUAGAUACCCUUGUAGUC